GCUGAGGCCGAAAGGCGUAGGCGAUGGACAACUGGUUGAUAUUCCAGUACCACCUCUGUUCCGCUUGAGCAAUGGCGUGACGCAGGAGGAUAGGGUGAGCGGCCUAUUGGAUGGCCGUCUAAGCAGUAAGUGUGGUGUGUAGGCAAAUCCGCACACCAAUAAGCACAAGCUGUGAUGGCGAGGGAAAUAUAAGUACCGAAGUCCCUGAUUUCACACUGCCAAGAAAAGCGUCUAGCGAGGAACAAGGUGCCCGUACCGCAAACCGACACAGGUAGGCGAGGAGAGAAUCCUAAGGUGCGCGGGAUAACUCUUGCUA
rnacentral:rRNA from 1 species